UUUUUUUUUUUUUUUUUGUUAAAUUAAAGAUAAAUAUUUAACUUAGAUUCAUCCUACCAAACAUUAAAACUAGAGAUUUAAUUAUAUAAUCAUUUUCCAACUCAUGUCAAGUCAUUUUAAAAAAUGACAAGUCAACAACUCAAUAUGAUCCAGUUUUUAAGUCUUUGAAUUGUCACUACAAACAAUUAUAUAUCUCUUGACGCAUAUAUUCGUCCGAAAAUGCACAAAAUAGCAUUAGGAUCGAAGUUUAAUUAAACUUCUAACGAUGGAAAAAUCAUCAAAAGAUUCGUAAAAGAGACGAUCUUUUGAUUAACACACAUGGUCAUAAAUUUGGGUUUGAAUGACACAGGGUAAAUAACUAAAUUUGAGUUGGAGGAGGCAAAUUGUGUCAUAAAUGUUAGAAAAAGGCGUUUUUGGUCCGAAAACCCUAAUUUUCAAGCUUCAGUUUUUUAAUUGUCAAGCAUCAAUGACAUUUAAUAAACUACAUUAAAUGAUUUUAAUCUUUUUAUGUUACAGAUUUUGAUUGGAUUAUUUAUUAAAAACAAAAUUGGAGCAUCCAUUUUUUUUAUGAUUAUUAAUAAAUUAAAUUUUUAUAUUUAAUAUUUAUUAAUAAAGAUAAGAAAUUAGAUUUGGUUGUUAUAUGUUGGGUUAAUAUUUAAGGAAAACUCAUGACAAAAAAAGAGAAAAAGAAAGUUCAUACCACUUUCAUGUUUUUUUGGAUAUUGUAAAUAUGACAAGUAAAUAGAUAUAUUAUGAGUUUAAUAAUUAUUAUUAUUUAAACUUUUCACGACGUACAACCUGUCACACGUCGUAAAAAGUGUCCGUAUUGAAGUGACAAUAGUCACCUUUUCUCGACAUGUGGCAGGGAGACACAUCGGAAAAGUUUAAAUAAUGAAUUUAUUAUUUAAACUUUUUUUGACAUGUACUAUAUACGUUGACGAAAAGGUACCUUUCCCGACGUUUUCGGAGACGUCGAAGAAAGUUCACACUAUUUAUUCUCUCUUCAACACAGAAAAGAAUGCAAAACAAAAACAAACCAUAAAUUGACCGAGGGAGAGGAGGAGAGUUGUGUUGCCGUCGCCGUCGCCGUCCAUCUUCACCGCCGCCACCGCCGAAAGUGUCCUCUUUCCUUCUCCUUUUCUUUUUCGUUUUAACUUUUUCGCUUCAUUGUACCCUUUCAAAUAAUAGCAGAGCCAAAAUGUAGUGACAAUGUGUUUUAUUAUCAUAAUUUUUUUUUGCUAUUUUUACAAAUGUCCUAAUAUUUAUUAAUAAAGAUAAGGAAUUGAUUGUUACUAAUAUAUUCUCAGAAUUACUAUAUAUUUUUCUAAUGCACUGUUAUGAUGUGAAUCAUGAUUUUGGUUUCUCUGCUUGUUUCAGAAGUAACCCCAAAAGCAAUAAUUAGGAGGACGAUGGGAGUAAAAGGUCUCUCACCCUUCAUCACUUAAAAUCACACCUCCAAGGUUUGUUCGUUUCACCAUUCCGUGUGUUUGACGUUUUGCAUGAGAAGGAUAUCCUCCUUCAUUUCAUAGCUUAUGUACUUAUCAAAACAUUCUUUUCAUAUAUUUUUUUUAACUAUUUAAUUCAUUAUAAUGUAUUUAGGUUUGAAAACUCUUAGACUCACAUCAUUAAAAUUUAUUUGACUUACAAAAUCCAAUUAAGUUCCUUUGCUUUCGAAUCUUAGAAUAUAGUUACCCAACUUUUACUCUUUUAAAAUUGUUUUUUAUCUUCUUCUUUUGUAUUAAAUACAACUUACCCUGCUAAAAUUAUGGAUUUACUAAGCCAAUACAUUAUUCCCAUCAAAUUGUUUUAUUCCAUUUUCGUUUCUUUAUUAUUAUUAUUAUUAUUUGUCAUUGUAUUGUAUUUUAAUAUAAAAACUGAUUUUCAGAAAACUUGCGACUAAAUUUUGAAUUUGAUAACUAUAUAGUUUCCAAUAAAUCUUUAUUUAGAAAGAUCUUUGAAAAGGAGAAAAUAUAUAGAAUGUUGCUUAGAUUUCGUUUUACCCAUUUAGUAACUCUUAGAUAUUCUAAAACGUAAGAUAUGCCCUUCCAAAAUCCAAACACUCACUUUUUUUCUCUCUUUUACUUGUGAACCAUUAAUUAGGUCAAAUACGUACUCAGACAAAAUAGGUGAAAUUAGGUGAAAAUAAAAAAUAUAUAGAAUUCGUUCAAGUAUAAAAGAAUAAUUAUAAAACAUGAACAUUUUCAAACACACCUAAAUCUGGUUGCAAAAUUAAUAAGUAUAAUACAAUAGAUUUUUUUAAUUAUAUAUGGUUAAAAUUUAAUUUAAAAUAUUAUUUCUUGUUCAAUUAAUUAGACAAAGAUGUUGAUUAAAAUUCAACUUAAUUAUACUCAAUUAUAUAUUAUUACGUAAAUGUCUUAUAUGUAAAAUAUUAAAAGUAAUAUAAAUGAAUAUUUUAGUAGAAAUUUUUUUAAUAUACAUAAAUGAAUAUUUUAGUAGAAAAAUUUAUAUCAGGUAACAGUUUAACUAAUUUUGAAGGAACUAAAGAUAAUAAAUUUAAAUUGAAAAUAAAAUAUACACAUGCAUAUUGCAAAAUUUAAAAUUAAUAUUUAAAUAAAACAAGAUCAAAAUAAUAUAUAAAUUUAAAUAUUAAAUAAUUUAUAAUUCAAACUUAAAUUAAACAUGUAAAUAUUAAAAAACAAAAAAUAAAUGUAAGUAACUAGAAAAGAAGAUUUAAAACUAAAUAUGAAAUUUGAAAAUCAAAUAAUAGGUAAAUCUAAAUAUUAAAAAAUUAAAAUUAAAUUAAAUAUACAAAUAUGAAAAAUAAUAAAGAAAGGAAAAAUUCCCAACAUCCCUCCCUCCUCAACACAGUAUGAUUGACCAAAAUUUCAUGUAAUAUUUUUUGAAAUAACAUAAAGAAAAUCAUAACUAAAGUUGACUAUUCAAAGUAGGGCACCCAAAAUGUUAAUUUAAUUAGCAACAGCUCUCUAUAAAUACCCAUUUCAUGAACUACAAAAUUCCCCACUCACAUCUUAACACAUAUUAUUAUUAUCACUUUCCUACAACAAACAAAACUUCACGCAUUCCAAAUCCUUAAUUAUUCAAUUCUCUCCAAGAAACAAGGAUCCAAUGGCGACUGCUGUUAAUCAUAAAACCCUCGACUUGGAACCGGUCUCCUCCACUGGCAACUUUCCAGUUCAACGUUGCAACUCAUUCCGGUCUAAUAGCUUCAAAUUCAAGCGCCAAGCCGAGAAACCGCUCCUUAUUGAUGAUGAUGAUUCCUCCUUUGAUCGUGACGAGGAGAACAUUGAUUACUUCCGGGAUUUGAUCCGGAAGGGGAAAGAGGAAAUCGAGCCGUCGAUUCUUGAUCCGAGGGACCAGGGGACGGCGGAUAGUGGGAUCAUGAGGAAUCCUUGUAUGGUCCGGCUUACCGGAAAACACCCCUUCAACUCUGAACCGCCGCUGGACCAUCUCAUGCGCCAUGGGUUCAUUACUCCGGCCCCACUUCAUUACGUUCGUAACCAUGGUCCGGUUCCGAAGACUGAUUGGUCUAGCUGGACGAUUGACGUCACUGGACUCGUUGAAAACCCUACAUCCUUCACUCUCGACCAACUUGUCAAUAACUUCAGGUCCUCAAAUACCCAUUUUACUCAAAACCCUCCAAACUCAUUUCCAAACUAAUUCUUGUUUUUAUUUUUUAAUUUAAGUUUUUUCUUUUUUUCUAAAGUUUAAAAUUCAGUUAAUAAACACUCACUGUUUAUCUCGUAAACAAUUUUUUUUAAUAGCUAACAAAAAAAAGUUUUUAAAAAAUUGAUAUUUUGAUUUUAGGAUUUAGUCGGUACUUCCAAAACUAAGGGUUGAAGAUAGGAUAAAGAAAUAAACAUUGGUUUUUGAUUUUGUGUUUUUAAUAAUUAAGCUUAUAAAUAUUCUUUUUAGUGGAUUCUUUGAUUUGUUUUCUAACUUUCUAACAAUAUUUUAUAAAAUUAAAGUAUUCUUCUUUUAAAAAAAAAAUCAUUUUGUUAAAUUUGAUAGUACCAGUUCUAUCUCAAAACCAAUGAGAGAAGUAGUAUCUUUUUAAAUGGAUUUUCAACUUCUCCAACAAAUUUUAAAUCUAGCUCUUUUAAUUAAAAAUUGAAACUUGUUAUACAAGUUUGAGAUAAAAUAGACUGAACUACUUAUUUUUAAAUUUACAAAUCAAUGUUUGUUUAAUUUUCUUUAAUGAAUUCUUUUAAGAUUUAUGAGGUACUUAGAAAUAAUGUAUCUUAGCGCAGGAGAGCUUCAACAAAACAUCUGUAUCAUCACUUUAUUUCUUUCUUAAAAAUAAACACAAAGACAAAACCCAUAGGAUUUCUUUUAAAAAUUUUCUUUUUAGUUAUUAAAUUUAGGUUGACAUUUUGAAAACGUUUUUUUUUAAAAUAAUAAUAAAAGAGGAAAGUAGAGUUAUGACAAAACAAAGCAAUUCAAGAGCAAAACUAAAACGUCAUAAGCUUAUUUUAUUUUAUUUUUUUAAAAUACAAGUUUUAAAAUAUAGAACAAAACCCCCACACAAUUGAGUAAUUGACUAUUGAUAUAUAUAAGAAAUUGAGAACAAAUGAAAUUACAAUCAUAUUUAAAUUCAACAACUUAAAUAUGUGGGAUAUGAUUAUUUCUAACCCUUUAUUCAUAUUCUUAAAGCAGAUCUCUAGAGUUUCCGGUUACCAUCAUGUGCUCCGGCAACCGACGGAAGGAGCAAAACAUGGUGAAACAAACCAUCGGAUUCCACUGGGGAGCCGCCGUGACCUCCACCUCACUGUGGCGGGGAGUUCCAUUACGCGAAGUACUGAAACGGUGCGGCAUCUUCAGCCGUCAAAGAGGAGCCUUAUACGUAUGGAUGGAAGGCGCGGACAAUCUCCCUGGUGGUGGCGGCUGCAGCUACGGCACCAGCAUAAGAAGAGAAAUGGCAAUGGACCCAUCAAGAGAUAUCAUAAUAGCAUACAAGCAAAACGGCGACCCACUCCCGCCAGACCACGGCUUUCCGGUUAGGAUGAUCGUCCCGGGGUUCACUGGCGGCCGCAUGGUCAAGUGGCUCAAACGAAUCAUCGUCACCAAUAGAGAGUCUGACAAUUAUUAUCAUUUUAUGGACAACCGUGUCCUUCCAUCCCACGUGGAUUCUUCCGAGCUGGCACAUGCUGAAGGUGAUAUAUUUAUUUAUUAUAAUUUAAUGAUUAAUUGACAUUUUCUAAAAUUUACUAAUUUUUAAAAACUAUAUACUCAAUAUUUAUUUAGGUUGGUGGUACAAACCGGAGUACGUUAUCUACGAAAUGAACAUAAACUCUGUGAUAACAACACCGUCACACAACGAGACGUUGUUGAUUAAUUCAGAGACGACACUAUCCACCUACACGUUAAGGGGAUACGCAUAUUCCGGUGAGUAAGAAUUAGUAAUGUGAACACAAUUAUUGUAUAAUUUUCUAUUUGAGAUUUAUUUUUGUUUUCUUGGUGUAGGUGGAGGGAAAAAGGUGACACGUGUACAGGUGACGUUGGACGGUGGGGAGACGUGGAAGAUAUGUAAUUUGGAGUACCAUGAGAAGCCAAACAAGUAUGGGAAAUAUUGGUGCUGGAUCUUUUGGUCAGUCGACGUGGAAAUAUUGGACCUGUUUGGAUCUAAGCAAAUUGCUGUCCGAGCAUGGGAUGAAACAACCAACACACAGCCAGAAAAUCUUAAUUGGAAUCUCAUGGUAAUUAUUAAUAAUUAUGUUUCUAUUUCUACAUUAAAAAUAUAUUAUAGUUAAUGAAGUUAUUAUCGUCAGAAAAAUCUUACAAAAUCUAUGACCCAUGCACACAUAUGAAACUAAAACAAUAAAAUUUUAACUAAAUCAUAAGAAACCUGACAUAUAAUGUCCCUUUCUUCAGCCUUCUUCAACUACCUAUUUUUUAUUCCAUCUUUUAAAACACAGAUAUUUCUUCUUCUUCCCACCUUUUAGCUUGACUUUCCUAUUUCUCACCCUCUCAUCCAUAUGCUUUAAUUCAAAGAAAAAGUUUCUUACAAAAUAAUUAUAUUUAAACUGCAAUAUGUAUAGUGAGACUCAAUGGUUUGAUAAAUUAAAGAAAACACACGGUUUUUGCAAUAAAAAUAUACCCAGGUUGAAUAAUAUAAUAAAUAAUUGAUAACAUUAUAAAAUAGUGACAUAAAUGGGAAGAAUGAGAACAUUUUAUCGUAAUAAAAAGUUUAUGUAAGGAUGACGCAAAUUAAAUAACCGGUCAAUUUGAGAAAAUAAAAAUAAAUAUAUGUACAAAUGUAAACCCUUUUUUGUAUGGUGAUAGUAGAAUACAUAUUAAUUCUACUUUAUUUCAAACAAUAAUACUCGAUCAAUACAUACUGCCAAAAAUAUUGUUUUUUCUUAAAAGAAAAAGUACCAAUUAAUAUAGAAAAAGUACGACUUCAACGUUAUCAUACAAAAAUUUAUGAACUCUCAUAAUUAAUAUAGUAAUAAUAGUCCUAGAGAAAGAAUCAUAAGAGAAGAGAUGUUGCGGAAACGUACAUUCGUUUUAGUAGUUUUUUAGUUUUUUUCGUGGGUUUUUUCUACAGUUUUUAUUUUUUUUAAACUUUUGAAAAACCCCUUUUUAUUAAAAAAGAUAAAUAAUAAUAAUAAUUUUUCAUAGAGGAAUACUAUAUGAGAACACAUUUUCUACCACAGCUUGUUGAUAAUAAAAGUACAAAAAUGUUUGGAUGCAGGGGAUGAUGAACAACUCAUGGUACCGAAUCAAGAUAAACAUAUGCAAACCCCAAAAAGGAGAGAUCGGGAUCGUGUUCCGCCACCCAACAGUCGCCGGCAACAAUGCCGGCGGCUGGCAGGAAAAGGACAAACCCAAUCCGACCGACGAGUCCCCUUCCCAACAAAAAGACAACAAGAGCACCACCACCUUCUCCAUGUCGGAAGUCAAAACCCACAACUCGUCCGAAUCGGCUUGGAUCGUCGUCCAGAACCAUGUCUACGACUGUACUCCUUUUCUCAAAGACCAUCCAGGCGGCGCAGACAGCAUUCUCAUCAACGCUGGCACAGAUUGCACGGAAGAGUUCGAGGCUAUCCACUCCGACAAAGCCAUUAAAAUGCUUGAGGACUACAAAAUCGGAGACUUGUUGAUCCUAAACGACAACAAGGACGCAACGUCAUCACCCAAAGCAGUUACUCAACACGUGGCUCUGAUCCCUCGUGAGAAAAUCCCGGUGAAAUUGAUUUCGAAAACUACAAUUUCUCACAACACGAGAAUUUUCAGAUUUGGUCUUUCUUCGGAAGAUCAAAGAUUAGGACUACCCGUUGGAAAGCACAUAUUUUUAUGCGCCAAUGUGGAUGGGAAACUAUGUAUGAGAGCCUACACACCGUCAAGCGCCGUUGACCAAACGGGCUACUUCGACUUAGUCGUAAAAAUCUAUUUCAAGAACGUUCAUCCCGAUUUCCCCAACGGUGGCCUUAUGUCACAGUAUCUUGACUCGCUCCCGUUGGGAUCAAUGGUGGAAGUGAAAGGCCCAUUGGGCCAUAUAGAGUACAUGGGGCGCGGCAACUUCAGAGUCAACGGAAAGCCCAGAUUGGCCAAGAAGCUUGCCAUGGUGGCAGGUGGGACUGGGAUAACGCCUAUAUAUCAAGUGGUGCAGGCGAUUUUAAAAGAUCCGGAGGACGAGACGGAGAUGUUUGUUGUAUAUGCGAACCGGAGUGAGGAGGAUAUUCUGCUUAGGGAAGAGUUGGAAACAUGGGCGAAGGAGAAUGAGAGAUUGAAGAUUUGGUAUGUGGUGAAGGAUGGGGUUCAAGAAGGGUGGCCGUACAGUGUGGGAUAUAUUAGGGAAGAUAUUCUGAGGGAGCAUAUUCCGAUGGGGUCACCACAGACUUUGGCUUUGGUCUGUGGGCCGCCUCCCAUGAUUGAGCUCACAGUUAAGCCCAUACUCAAGAAUUUGGAGUAUGAUUUAGAAGGUUCCUUGUUGGUGUUUUGAUCUUUUUACUAAUUACCUUUUCAAUAUUAUUAUAAUUAUUUUGUUUGUUGUAAUAAUUACUGUGAAAGUGGGUUAAAAUUCAAUUUAUAUGAUCUUAUUCAUUUGUAAUAAUUAUGAUCACUUCAAUAAUAUUCUUUAUGUUGGUUUUUCUAUUCACUUUUCUGUGUUGUAUGAUAGAUUGAUUGAUGAUACAUGUGUUGAAAUUUUAAGUUAAAAGAAUAAUAACAAUAAUAAAAGCUAGGGAAUAGUUUACUAUUAAUUCAUUCACUCAUUUUCAUUAAUUCUACUAAUAUUACAAUUUGGACCAACUAAUGGUAUGGUAAACUCUUUUACCUCCCUAUCACCUCUAUUUAGUAUGUUUUAAAUGUAUAAAAACUUAUUGAUAGUAUUGGACAAAUAAACAAUCACAUUAAUUUAUUUUUUUAAAUGUCAAAAUUACCCUCUCUUCUUGCGCCUCUUCCUUCCUCUUUCCUCUUCCUCAACACCUUUCUUAUGUCAAAAAAAAAAAAAAAAAAAAAAAAAAAAAAACUGUCAGUCCAAACUCUCAUCUUCUUCCUUGUUUUUCUUCCCACCUUCUUCUUAUGUUUGGAAAGCUCUACCAAAACCACACAGGCUGACUAAACCCCUAAUAACCAAGAUCCAAUAUCAUUGUUGAAAUCCACCUCUCUUCAUCAGAGUUAAUCACACUGAAAUACCCACCUGUAGAUUGAAGAAAACCACGUUGAACGGAACUACCCUUGUCGAAAAAAACCCCCUUUUUCUGCUAGACCCUCGCUGAUGAAGAAUACCCUGACAACCACACUGUAACAACUUCAAUUGCUCUUGAAAAUCUGCAUAAUUCUCAAUAUAAUUUCUUAUGCAAAUAUCCUCAUUUUGGCUUUUACGAUAAGAGCCUUACAGUGGAUGAAGGUUCACUAGUUUACAAAAUUGUCAUCGGUGCAUGUACUUAAUACUGUGACAAUAAAAAAAGUAAUGAGAAGGUAAUCAAAUAAGCAGAAGGUAAUCAAAUUUAAUGAUUAUUUUAGAAGGCUAACUAAAAUUAAAAAAAAUUUAAAUGUAGAAGGUGACGCGCAUUGAGAUAAUCUACGUUUGUUAUUUGUUAAGUAAAUGAUUUUGAAGAAAGAGUUUUUGAGAAUUUAAGUGUUUUGAUGCUUAGCAUUGAGAUAAGGUGACGUGGGGAGAAGGAGAAGGUGAGCAAGACUAAGUAGGCAGUUUGAGGAUCAAACACGAGCUGAAGUUAGGCGUUGAAAGGUAGGCAGUUUGAGGAUCAAACACGAGCUGAAGUUAGGCGUUGAAAGGUAGGAUUUUUUCUAGAAACUUUCUAAUUGUACUUAAUGGGUGAAGUGUGUAAGAGUUUAAACUAAGUAUGGUCAUGAAAAUAUUAAGCUUACGUGUGUAGUACUUUAAGCAGAAGCUGGUGAGUUAAUUAACAAGAACUUACGGAUGACUAAUCUAAUUUGGAUUAGUAUAUAAAUAGGGAAAAAGGGUCGGUUAUGAAAAAUGUAAUGCUAAAGUAUUUGAAGUCACUCUAAGUCAGUAGGCAAGAAGGUCUUUUAGAACCUAGGCGUUCUAAAGACAAAAUUUAUGUUGUGAGUGAUUUUCAAAUAUCAUUUAAAAAUUUUGAAAGCUUCCUUCUGAUUGUAAUGAUUGCUUCUUAUAAUAAUGUUCAUGAAAGAAAUGUUUUCUAAAGAAAGCUUUAAUGUUAUGCUCCAAGUAAAGUUUUAUGUAUGUUAAAUGUAUGCUAUGUUAUGUAUAAAUCAUUAGUCUUAUUUCUAUCAAUGAACUAACUAUUAAUGUGCAUAGAAGAAAUAAAGGCAUCUAUGUAUAAAAUUAUUGCAUGGUGUAAGUGAAGUUAGCUAAUGCGUAAAAGGAAAUACUGAGCUUAGCGGCUUAAGCAACAUGAAGUGAACCACGAUAUUCUCCAAGGGAUGUUGUUGAUGAAAAGGACAUCACAGUAUUCCAUAUGGGGGAAUAGUUAAUGUUCUUGAAAGAAAGGAAUAUGAAAGACUAAUGCAUGUUUUAUGUUCUACGAAACAGACAUUGAGCCUGUUUACUGAAAACCUUUUAACGCAUUGUAUGUCUGAAAAGGUUUUCCAAAACUAACAUUCGCUAAGUUUUUACUUACGCUUUAAAGAUUUUUCUCUCCCAAGUCACCAUGCGUUAAGGCCAAGGUUGGGAUAAGGAAGGUGAACUACCAAGCAGUGAAGCUAAUGCAAGACUUUUAAGAUUAUUGUUCUAGUUGUUGUAUUUAAGAAGCAUGCAAAUUGUGUUGUUGUGUACAUUAUGUUAAGUUAAGAGAAGAGUUGGUUGAUUAUUUUCCGUUGCGUUAUGUAAACUCUAUUCGCCUAAAGCUUAAGUUCAAGAAGUUAGGUUGAGCAUUCUGGGGUUUCAUCUUGAGGCAUUAGAACUUGCUCAAGUCACAUCGCACGCUGCAUUGCAAGAUUUGGGAUGCGUGCGAGACAAGGUGUGACAAAUCAGAUCACAAUCAUAAUGGAACAAAAAAUCUUACUAAUUGACAUAAAAUGGAAAGUAAUCAUAUCACAAUGUAAUGGUAAUCAGAAACUACUUAAUAAUUGAUAAAAGCUUGAUGGUAAUGAGAUGAAUAUCAGAUUUUACUUAGUAAUUAUAAAAAAAAAGAUGUAAUGUCAUUAGAUUGCAAUUAGUAUCAUUUACAAAUAAUUAAAAAUCAAUAUUAAAUUAAAUAAUAACAAGAUGGUAAACUAGUAUCAUUAACAAUCAAAUAACAAUGAACACUAAAUAACAAUAAGAGAGUAAUCAGACAACAAUCAAAUAACAAUUGAUAUCAUUGAUAAUCAAAUGAAAAUCUGAUAACAAUUAGAUGAUAAUCAAAUGUCAGAACUUGAUUCCAUGUUCUGUAUCAGCUUAGUUUUGAUAAUAGUUGACAAUUUGAACUACGGUAAACAUUAUGAGAACAUUUGAACUAUUCAUGUUGUUACUAUCUUUCAAAACUUUCAAUGAAUUCCUCCUUGAUAUAGCAUCUCUUGAAUGCAUUAGAACCUAAAGUUGAUCCUUCUUACACAAGUAAGACAUAAAUAAAUUCUAUAUUUUGGUUACAAACACUUGACACCAUUUAUGGUUAUUUCAUUUUUUUCGUGUUUUAUAUGUAGGUCUUCAAUGGUAUUGACACUAACCUUAAUAUGAGUUCCAUCUAAUGCUCCCACACAAUUCUAUAAAAAAAAAAAAAACAAUUGUUUUACUUCAUUCAAACAAGUAUCACUAUUGAAAAAUGUUAAAACUUACUACUUCAAGUCAUACCUCAAACCAUCUCCACUUUUCAUUGGAUGAAUUUACCUCAAACCAUCUCCACUUUUCAUUGGAUGAAUUUGUAGAUACAUGACUUGGUUUCUUUAGGAGGAAUUCAGGAAGACACAAUAUUGAGUUAAGAACUUCAUUAAAGAACAUAUUAACUUAUGAGACCUUGAUCGCGUUUUGAAGCUACACGUUAAGACCACAUGCAACAAAACUUAUAUGUGUUAAGAUUGCAUGCAAUGAGAGCUGGUGAAUAACACAAAGAUAGUGCCAGAAAACAUGAAGAAUAUUUCAACUUUCAACAUUCACUGAUAUGGGUUAUUAGAAGUUAUCUUCUAUGUCCAACAUCUAUAAAAGGCCAAUGAAGUCUUUUUUUCAAAUCAUCAUCUAACUAGCCAAAUAAGCUACUAGAUUGAAAUUUUUGUUGGAACUUAUGGCACUCUAGUUAACAUUCUAAGAUUGAGAUUGUAUUUUAAUCAUCUUUGGUGACAAACACUUGUAUGGAUUCAAUCAACUAAGUGUGAGAGACCUUAAAAUCAAUCAAAUAACAGAUUGAGAUAUCAUAGGAGUACAAUUUAAGUAAUUUCUUUACAGAGAAAGUGAAGAGAUUUAAGAGAGUUCGAAAGAAUCCUAUCUAGUAUCAUUUCAUUGAGACUUUGUAUAAAACCUUGACUUAAAGCUAAGAGCAGGAAAUUGUUACAGCUGCAAUUCCUUCUAUCAUAUUCAUUUGUUACAAUUCCUUCUAUAAUUGUUACAACAUCAUCAUUCUUUUGUCUUUUUAUAUUUUCUUAUUAAUCACAUUCCAUAGCUAAAGUUAUUGUUUUGUUGUCGACACUGAUUUCUCACUUUGUCAUAGCAGCUUAAUUAAUUUCAUAGGAGAAUGAGAUUAGUACAUAGUAAGUUGUGAAGCAUGCGUUGGCAUUCAUAGUCAUAUGGAUGCGAUAUCCUAUUCCUAACUGUUGACCCCAAUACCAAUUCGAAUCAAGUGGUAGCAAUUAACUGCUCGAGCAAAUAAGUGAUUGCAGAAUUUAUUAAGUCGGGUAAAGAAGUUCUCUUUAUUUCUGGACUAACCUUAGCAUGCAUCAUAAAAAUAUGACACAUGUGGCUAACUCAUUGAACGGUGGAGACAAUGCAAGGCUACAAAUAUAAAUAUGACGCUAUCACAUCAUUCACUUCACUUCAUCCUUUGAUCUUAUUCAUCUCUUUUUUAGUGUUGUCACUUACUUGUCACACUCUCUUUAAAUUAGAACACAUACUUUUUUAUAGUUAAAAAUAAAACUACACCUCCUAUAUUUGAUAAACACUCAGUUGCACAGACAACAUUUUUCGAUCUUUUUAACUAUAUGUUGUUUAUUUUUCGUGUUUGACCUCGAAUCAUUUUCAAAAAACCUUUGCUUAACUUACACUUGGGGUUAUAUAUAGAAAAACUUGUGGUAGAGCAUUACCAACACUUUUAAAAAUGCAUUACUAAUAUUCACACACCUCUAUCACAUCGCAUAUUACACCAUCGAGUAUUUUAAACACCAACUACCUGCACUAUUAUUUUCCAUCCAAAUACUUUUCUUCACCUUCUCUAAAUCUUUGAGCAAUUGAAUAAAAGUUUGUGAUGCAUGCUCAAACAACUAUUCAUUUAUGCUACUGUCAAGUAAUUUGACAAUCAUCACGAUCUAGUUACAAAUUGACUCUUUGAUUUUUUCACUUGUCUCUAUUUGAUUCUCAAGUUCACUUGAAACUCUAGCCUCUUUAAAUAUACGUUAAAAGAAUUAGGUUAAUAAUUUUCUUCUCAAGCACCUUAAGUGCACGGGUAUAUAAAAUUCCAACAAAAGUAAAUUUUAUGGAACUGGACGUAAUAAUGAUAUAAAAAUUUCACCAUCCAUUAUCCCAUGUAUGAACCCUUUAUACAUUUCACUCACGUAUCUUCAUAUGAACAAUACAAUUCAUAUUGUUUGUAACAUUUACAUCUCAUGUAACAAUUACAAAGUGGGUCGUAACCAAAGACCUUUUAGAUUAUAACUUGAACACAUGAAUUAUUUGUAUGUCAUCCACGUAUUAUUUGACUAACAUUAUAUAUAACGUGGGUCUUUGUUUAUUGAAUUGAAUUAAUAUUGUCUAAAAGUAAAAUAAAAUAUUUCAGGCUUUCUUAAAUAAAUAAUUUUUGUUUAAUGAAAACUACUAACAGUGAGAUUUUAGGACACUAGUUUACAUAAAUAUCAACAGGGGAUAACAAUGAAGUGCAUGUGAGUUAAGUUCGAUAUCCAUAUACCUAUGAAAAUGGGAAGAACAGGUACAAUGUAAAAUUAAGAGUGUCUUAGUUAGAUACCCUGGAGUUACAGGGUUUUAAGUGCGCAAACCAUCGUUAUGUAAACCAAGCACAUAUAUCAAUCUAACAAAAUAAAGAUUAUAACUCCCAAUACGUACUAGAAUCAUAAAUUGCAUGUUACUUCAUGGGCUCCAACUUGUGAGUGAGAGGUCAGUGUUGUGGGUAAUUUUUUUAAGAAGUUUCGUGGCCAUUAAAUUAGUCGAGGAAAGAUAGCUAGAGCCUAAGCAAUACAUUAUAAGACGAAAAGGAGGUUUAGGAAAGAGAAAGAAAUGGGUAGAAAAAGCUUAUCUGAGAUUCUCAGCUUAGCUUCCACCAAAGUCGGGCCUAGUGAAUUAGCUUGGGAACUUUUCCAUUCAUUCCACCUAGAACAAUAAUGAAAGAGAAAAUGGCCAUGGAACUAUUUCAUUUGCCCUAUCUGGUCUAAUGAGCAUUCAAAAGCCUCCCAGAUGCAUAGUUUUUAAACAGAAUCGUGAGAGGAUUACAGCAUAUGAUAACGCCUGCCAUGACAACUCCUUGGAGAAGGAGGUGAAUUCUUCUAUCCUAAUAUUUUCUUUUUCUUUUUUGGUUCGUUUAUUGAUUUAAGCAUUAGAGUGUGGGUUGGCAUCCAUCACACCAAUGUCUAAAACUCACAUUUUUUUUUCCAAGGAUUUUGAUUUCUUUCCAUCAAUUCACCGUUGCUAUCUUGUUCAAAUUUCAACAUCAAUAACAUAAAAACAUGGUUAAAUUUAUGAAUAGUGUAAUUUAAUAAACAAAUGACAAAUUUGUGGUAGUUUUGAAAUAAAUAUUGAAAAUAAAUAAAUUGAAUUUGGGGGAGAUGCAAAAUAUUGACAGAAAAACAACAACCAUGAAUUGAUAAUGAAAUAAGGUUAAUUUUGAUUACAUCACCUUCUUAAAUUGAUUAUUAAUUAACAAACUUUUUAAUUAAUUAAUUAUAUCACAACUGUAAAGAAAUAUAUUAUAAUGUUAAGAUAAAUAUCUUUGUAAUUGUUUAAAGCCCUUUCUGCAGAUUCAUUUCUAGUGCUUUUUUUUUUCCACGAAGAAAGCGAAGGCACUACAACUACACUUCAAUUAUAUCGUGAACCAUUGAAUAUUAUUCAAACUUCUAUUCUUAUCAUUGGCUUUUUUUUUUUUUUUUUUAUUGCUUCUAAAUUACAAAAUUCUCCAUUAUAAAAAUGACUGAAACUCAAUUACUUUAAUUCACUGGCUCAAAUCUAAAGCAAAAAUUAAAUAAUUAAAAAAAGAAUAGCAAAUAUUUUAUCACCAAGUUGAUAUAUUUUAAUCCUGGCUUAAAACAAAAAAGAGAGUUUGAGAAAUGUAAUACCAUCCUUCAGUUGACAGCAAAAAAAAAUGUCAACUAUAGUAAUAAUUGUAUCGUUCUAUUCUUAAAAAGGUUAUUCGUGGACAUUAAGUAAUACGAAAAUAUAAGAUGUAAUAAACAUAGAUAUGCAUUUACUCCAAAAUAUACUCUUAUAGUAUUAUAUUUAUUUCUACCGUACAAAUUGAUUAAGGGUAAAAUAUAUUUUCUAUAAAAGUAGAGAAUUCGUUCGUUUGAUCUUCAACCAUAAACCUAACGAAAAACUGGAAGAAAAGAUACAUACAAGAUAUAUGCGUUUGUGUGUGUGUAUUCUAAGUCUUCAUUAAAGAGAAAGCUAAGGUUUGUCAAUCUGAGAAACACCAGGAAGAUGAGAAUGGGAAAUAUCUGAUAUAUUUUCAUUUAUGUCCACAUAUUAAUGUAAAGUAAAGUUGUCCUGAAAUUAAAAACUGUCUCAAAUGAACAUGUAUUGGAAAAGCUUUGUCCAAUGGCAACGUUGAUUUGAAAUGAAGUUCCAAAAAGGACGAGUAAUGAAUGUAAAUUAAUUAGGAGAGAUUAUGAAUGUGAUGGGGAGUUCAAAUAAUUAUAUAUGGAAGUCCUUGUGAUAUUUUUGCAAACUGUGUGGAGGGCCAUGCAUUCUUUUAGCCUCCUUUUCUUUGAUUUGACACUUCACUCACGUUUUGGCCCAACAACACGACACCCUAACUUCCAAUUUACAAAAAAGAACUGAUUUACUUUAUUAUUUACUCUUUCAAUGUGAUUGAUGCCCAAUUUUAAACUCUUUACUUUCUCCAGGAUAUGAGAUCUCUCACAUUAGGCAUAAUCACAAUUUUUGUAAUAUUCACCUCUAGUUUUUAGAUAUUGUAAUUUCCUUCCUACUUAAGUCAAGUCGUUGUGAUUUGGCUUAAUUUCGUGUUUAUAUCAAACCUUUGAGGAGAGAAUUAUUAGUAAACCAACAUAGGAUGAAAGUAAAAAGUUAAUUCUUCUAUCCUAACUCUUCUUCUUUUUUUAAUUAAAGUUGAAAAGGAAGAGAUGUAUCUUAGAUUUUGGUGUUUGCCUACCCAAACAAUAAAAUAAACAUUCCUCUCUCACUUUUUCAAAAUACUUUUUUAAUAAAUAUUUAAGAAAAGAACACAAAUUGGCUAUAUAUAUAUAUAUAUAUAUAGUUAUAGUUAUAUAUAUUGUGAACUGCCCCUUAUGACAAGAGGUAUCUUCACCUUUAUUAAUAUUAUAAAUGUAUAUUGAAAGGCAGACAAUGAAUAGGCCAAAUUUGUUCCACCCAAUGUCUUUGGAGUCAUUUUCCACGUUGUAGGGUGAUCAAGUCCAAAGGUAAUAUAAUAUGGUUCCUAUUUUCAUAAGAAGCAGUACAAUUAUCAAAUUGGGUGCAAUUAUAAUAUUAUUAUUAAUUCCUUAAAAUAGUGUGUGAAUAAAGUUUUCUUUCCUUAAAUUAAUUAAUAUAUGGCUGUCACUUGUUAAAAUGUCCAUUAGUCAAGCCAAACACCCUAAUUAGCUGCCUUCCACAAUGUCUUCCUGUUCAACAUGGGACUAAUCUCAAUUAGACUUAACUAAACUAUUCUAUACCUAAAUAUCAUUCUACCAUAGAAAAUUCAACUCCACCUUCCCUUUUUUUUUUUCUUCUUAAUCUUUCCCUUUCUUUCUUAGUUAGUUAGUGGGUGAGUCAAAUUAAAGUUUUAACUUCUAAAAAUAAAUAUUAAUACAAUAAAUUUUUAAAAAAUAUAAAUUUUACAAAAUAUUUUCAAUCUAUAGUAAAUUCUAUAACAAAUAGUCAUUGACAUGCUAGAAUAAUCAAAGACUAUUAGUGAUAGAAUCUAAAAUUUUGCUAUAGUUUGUAAAUAUUUUAAUUUAUUUUGCUAUUUUUAAAAAUACCCUUAUUAAUAUAAACAUACUACAUCACAUCAUUUGUAGGGAAAAAAAAAUGAAGAAAAACAGACCAACAAAAAAAAAAGAAAUCAUCCAUGGAUUUAACAAAGUCUAAAAUAGCUACUUUUAUUUUUAUUAAGAUUUAAGAAGUAAAAUAAAUAUGUUUUUAAAAAUAUUAAAAAAAUUUGGAAAUAAAAACUAAAUUUAAACUCAAAAAAUUUAUCGAACUUGUGGUGUAAUAUAAACAUCUAGACACACUAACAUGAUUCACCAAAUAAGAUGAGAUGGAACCCUGGGAGUCUUUUCAAGGAGAAAAGAAAGUAAUGGUAUUUGGAUGGAUUGAGUUAUAUGAAACUAUUUUAAAUGGAAAGAUAAUGGAAAAUAAUUAUAAAAUAUAGUAAAAUAUUAUAUAUCACAAUAAAUAAAUUGUACAUGUAUGUAUUUAAAAUUGGUUCAUCUUAAAAUUGGUUAACUUAAACAGUAAUUUAAGGUAGAAAGAUUGAGAUACAAAAUAAUUUAGAAAUAUUUAUUUGGGUAGAAGGAGUUGGGGUUAGGUAUGUAGAAUAGAAGAAAAAGGGUGGGAAAAUGUAGUAGUGGAUUGUGGUGGCGGUGGGUAAAUAAAAGGAGGAGUAAAGUGGAAUCUAAAAAUGAGGAUGAUUCCAUGCGUGUGGCGGCCAUAAAAAAGAAGAAGGAGAAAGAGAGAGAGUAGGGUCCGGAGAUUGUGGAAAAGAUGGAAGCCAGGGAAAGGAAACUAAACUAGGUUUUAAAUUGGCCUUUGAGUUCCCCAAAUAACAAUGGGCCCAUUUUCAUUUUCCCAUUACUCGCCCCUUCGCUUGCUACGCGGCUAACAUUCCUUCUUCCUUCUUUCAUUAAUCACAUGCCCCAUUUUUAUCAUCCUUUAAUUUCAUCUUCCCAAUUCAUUCUACCCUUCCCUUUUUACAAUUAUUACAUUCAUGCAUCUUUCCUUAUACCUUCCCAAUUCAUUCUACCUUCUUCAUUCUUUAAAUCACCCUACCCUCCUCCUUUUUCCUUCUCAUUACUUAUUUCUAAAAUACCUCUCUAUAUGCAUCUUCCCUUAAUACACGUUCCACCAAAAUUCUCACAUCUCUAUAAACUCCGCAUCUACAUUACUGUACUUGUUUUAUGGAUAUUGUGCACCCUUUACAAGUUUGCGGUGUAUUCUUUGAAUUCAAAUAUUGGUUUUCUCUAUUCCUCUGUUUAGGACAACUCCUAUAUAUUACAUUUUUUUUUCAUUUUAUAUGGUUAAAAAUAGAUACUAUCAAGUAUGUAUUAAACUCACCCGCAAAUUUAGUAUAGGCUAAGGAGACUUGUCUUUAUAUAAUAUGUAUAAACAAAAUCAAUUAAUACUUAAUAUUAAUUGAUAGUUUAGUGGUAAUAAUGCGUUCAAGUCUUAUUUGUAUAGUUUUUUUUCAAAUUUUUAUUUUUUUUUUAAGUUACAACUUCAAACCCACUGUCAAUAAAUUUUCUGGACAUAAACUAAGUAUAUUGGAUAACUUAAUUUUAGGCAUUUCAAGAUUUUGUUCAUCUACAAUUCUAGAAAAAAUAUUGUACUUGAGGGUGAUUGAAACAUUAUAUUGUCCAGUGUAACUAGUAGCUUUUAUAGUAGGUGAGUUUAUUGGAUCAAUCCAUAUUAUUUUAGUGUAAGUUAUUUAUAAAAUAUACCAAAAUUUUAUAAUCUACCAUAUUUUGUGAAUAUUUGUUAUAAUGUGUCAUUUCCAAUAAUUUCCUUUUUUCAUAGUAUUUUUUUUUUCUACUAGGAUGAGUCAUAGUUUUUUCUAGUUUUCUUACCUAAAUUCAUGUGUUUAUUAGGUACUAUUAUUUGUUAUUUUCUUUUCAUUCCUCACUUAUGUUUGUUUAAUAAUUUGUGGUGGAAUUAAGAUUGCUUUGAGUACAUGAGGGCAAAUUAUUCAAUGCAUAAAAUCUUAAUUUAAAAAUUAUAUCUUAAUUAUUAGUGUCACAAAUUUGUGUUGCCGUGUUAGGUUGUUUUUCAAGUUUUUCAUUCAGAUACUCCAUCACCUACAUAUAUAUAUAGUUAUACCAACAUUUUAGAUAUAUGAUAUCAAAUAUUGACAUAAACGCCAAAGAAUCCUGAAAAUUUUUAAUAUUAAGAAUUCAUAUAUUCAACAACUCGAGUUUAACAAAACCAUGUUUGAAUGCAGAAUUUUCUUUGCUAUGGUUUUCUAUGUUUUUUCUUUUAAUUUUCUAUCUCUUGUUAUCUUGAAGCUGAUCAUCUCCCCUAGUGGACAAUUUGGUAUUUGAAUUGACAUUUUUGUCAUUUCCCUGUUCCCCCACGAAUAAGUUCCCUUCAAAAUUCUCCACAUAUUUUCCUACACAAAUGAACCAAUUAAUUUCUUCUUCGUUAAUUUCAAAUAUAUACCAAAAUGAAAAUAAUGAAAAUAAUGAAAUAAUAGGUGAGAAAUGUUAAUGAAUUAAUUAUCGUCCCUUAAUUGCAUGUAGACAUCCAAACAAUAAUAGGAGAAAAAGAAGGGUAUUUACAACUUAAUAUUCACAUAUACUAAUUAUUUUACAAAACGAAUCCAACGUCCUUUUCUUCAAUUUUCGAUUUCCAUUGAAGAAAGAAAAAAACAAAGAAAAAAAAAACAUUUUAUUAAAAUUAAAAUUUUAUUAUUUUCGUCUGUCUCUGUCUACUCAAAACACCAACAUGGAAUUCUUGGUGUCGUAAUUCAUCUUCUCCAGAUUGGGCUGCACUGCAAAUUGAAUCAUCGGCGGCGGCCCACAAACCAAAGCCAAAGUAUCCUCCGCCGCUGCCGGUAGAUGCUCUCUCGUUAUUUCCUCCGUAAUAAACCCAAUGCUAUAUUCCCACCCUUCUCUAAUACUCUCCUGCACCACGUACCAUACUUUUCAAACGCUCGUUCUUCUUCGCCCACGUGUCCAAUUCCUCCCUCAGCAAAAUAUCAUCCUCCGUCCGAUUCGCAUACACAACAAACAUCUCCGUCUCGUCCUCCGGGUCCUUCAAAAUCGCCUGCACAAUUUGAUAUAUCGGAGUUAUUCCGGUCCCACCUGCCAGCAUUGCAAGCCGCUUCGCGAACCGGGGUUUCCCAUGGACCGUAAAGUUUCCACGUCCGGUGUAUUCGAUGUGGCCCAACGGACCCUUAACCUCCACUGUCGAACCCACUUCCAUGUUGUCCAAGAACUGUGACAUGAUCCCCCCGUUGGGGAACUUGGGGUGCACGUUUUUGAAGUACACCUUGACGACCAAUUCGAAGUAGCCCAUCUGGUCUACGGUGCUAGAGGGCGUAUAGGCUCUCAUGCAAAGCUUGCCGUCCACUUUUGCGCAUAUAAAAAUGUGCUUGCCCACGGGCAGCCCAAGUACCUGAUCCUGACCGCCGGGCAGUUCGAAUCUGAAUACACGCACAUCGUGCGAGAUUUCGGUUUUGGAAAUCAGCUUGCAGGGGAUCUUUUCGUUAGGGGCCAGUGCCGCGCGUCUUGUCACCAUUGGGGCUUCUCGGAUGGGCGCUAAAUGGGAGAAGUUGGAGGCCCCGUGAGUGGAGUUGUUAGGGGAGUUGGAGGAGGAGUCGGAAGCGUAGCCGGUGGUGAUCAACUCUCCUAUUCGGUAAUCCUCGAGCAUUUUCUUCGCUUUGUCCGAGUGAAUGGCGUCGAACUCUUCGGUGCAGUCGGUGCCGGCGUUGAUUAAGAUACUGUCGGAGCGCGCCGGGGUGGUCUUUGAGGAAGCGUGUGCAAUCGUAGACAUGGCCGUGGACAAUGAUCCAGGCGGAUUGAGGGGAGUUGUGUUUUUUGACUUCGGAUAAGGAGUAAGUGUUGGAGGCAGUGUUCAUGAAUGGAGUGGAGAUACUCUUCUUUAGGGUUUGGUUUGAUUCGGUGGAUAUUUCUAGAUGUCUCUCUCUGUCCAUCCAUCCACCGGAUUGGUUGCCGGGAACCGUUGGGUGUUCGAAGAUGAUUCCGAUUUCUCCCUUGUGAGGUUUGCAUACGUUGGUUUUCACGGUGAACCAACAGUUAUUCAUCAUUCCCAUAAGGUUCCAUAUGAGUUUCUCAGGUUGAGUGUUGAGAGUUUCAUCCCAAGCACGUACUGCAAUUUCUUUAGCGCCAAGCAGGUCUAGAACCUCCACCUCUAAGGACCAGAAACACCAGCACCAGUAUUUUCCAUAUUUGUUUGGCUUCUCUGGAUGGUCUAACGUGCACACUUGCCAUGUCUCUCCACCGUCCAUUGUCACCUCCACACGUGUCACCUUCUUUCCGCCACCUACACGUUUUUUCAAAACUAGACACGUUAAAAUAGUUGUGUGUUUUUUUUUUUUUGAACUUUAAUUCUCCGGAUCUACAUCUACCUUUCCUAGAUAACAACCAAGUAAAUAUAAAAAAAGAAAUACAAAAAACGGCGGCGGCUCACCGGAAUAAGAAUAGCCUCUCAAGGUGUAGGGCCUCUGAGUGGUCCAGGAGUUGAUAGGCAGAAUCUCCUCAUGGCAUGGAGUUGUUAUGACUGAGUUGAUGUUCAACUCGUUGAUUAUGUACUCCGGCUUGUACCACCAUGCUGCAUAUUUUAAAUUAAAUUAAACAUUUAAUUAUAAUUAAGGUUGACAUAAAAUUCAAUCAUAUAGUAACUAUUUUAUACCUUCGGCGUUAGCCAGCUCAGCGUCUACAUGGGAUGGCAAGACUCUAUUGUCCUUGAAAUGGUAAUAGUUCUCUGAUUCUUUGGUUGUAACGAUGAUGCGUUUAAGCCACUUGACCAUUCUACCCCGAUGAAUCCCGGUAUUAUCAUCCUCACAGGAAACCCGUGGUCCGGUGCCAACUGCUCUCCGUUUUGCAUAUACGCUAAAAUGAUGUCCCUAGCCGGAUCCAUAGCCAGCUCUUUCUUGAUACUAGUUCCGUACUUGGACCCUCCCCCACCUGGCAGAUCCUCAGCCCCUUCAAAGCACACAUUCAGCGCCCCCUUCUUCCUGCUCAUAAUCCCACACCGUUUCAACACCUCUCGCAGUGGGACCCCCCUCCAUACUGACGUUGAAACUCCCGCCGCUCCCCAGUUGAACCCGAUGCUCUUUUUCACCAUGUUCUGCUCCUUUCGCCGGUUUCCUGCGCACACUAGCGUGGCUGGAAACUCUCGGAACCGGAACUCGUUCACCAGUUGGUCCAUGCUGAACUUAGUGGGCCGUUUGACCAGACCACAGACCUCGAUUGUCCAGUCGCUCCACUUGGCCUUAGGGACUGCUCCGUGGUUACGCACGUAGUGUAGUGGGACUGGGGUUAUGAACCCAUGGUGCAUCAGACGAUUGAGAGGUGGCUCCGAGUUGAAGGGGUGCUUCCCUGUGAGACGGACCAUGGAAGAGUUCCGCUCGAUCCAAUUAUCAGCCGUCCCUUCAUCUCUAGGGUCCACAGUCGACGGUUCCAGUUCACGGUUCCCCUUCUUGAUCAAUUCACGAAGCUCGUUGUUAUCGUUCUCGUCUUCACUACACGAAUCAUCAUCUUCUUCCUCCUGUUCCAUCUUCACGGAGCUCUUGAGAAGGCGAUUGUUAAUGUUGGAAUUGGGGAAGUUGCAUCCACGAACGGGGGAGUCGGACCGGUGGUUGGGACCGGAUUUGAAGGAGCGAACGACGCCAUUAAGCGGUGGCUGGAGAGAGCCAAAUUGGCGGUUGUCGACAGAAGCCGCCAUGGGAGAUUAUUUGUUUAGAAAAGAAAUGAAAUAAUUCUCCUGAUUUUGCCCUCCACCACCUUUGUUGUGAUAUGAUGUUGUAGUUUGAAUUGAAGUUUUGGUGGUGGGAAAAAGUAGGGAGGAGAAGGUGUGAUUAUAUAGGAAAUGUAUGUGAAGAAAAAGCCGAAAGUGAGGGCCCAACCUAUUGGACAGGAAAUUUCGAUGGGCUGGGGGAGCUGUUAGUUCAAAAUGACGCCGUUUCGGGAGUGGGGGGCGUGCCAAUAGGGCGAGCCUGACGAAGUACUUACAAAUCAGAACUAUGAAUCUGUGGUGGGUGUGAGCCCUUGGGUUCAUACCGGUCUCAGCCACACGAUGAAUUCAAACAUUUCUCUUCAAAUCAACAAGAUAUCCUCCACAUCUUUUAUUUCCAUAGCUUUUUCUUCUUACUUAUUUUAAUUGCCUUUCUUCUCCCCCACUUCUUAAUUGCACUAUUAAUUUUCUCAAAAUACACACAAAACAAUAAUAAUAAUAAUAAAUAAAUCUCUGCCCACAACCCUUACUUUCAAUUUUCUUUUAAAUUAUUGUCCUUCAAACUACUAUUAAUAACCAUGGCUCUAUGAUUCAAAUUUCUGUUCAAAUCACUCAUUCUAUUUACUUUAAAUAUAGUUUGUUAAACUUUCAAAAAACAUGUGAUUAUAAAUCUUUCUAAAAUGUGCAUUUAUAAUUUCUUUUGUUUAACUCGAACAUAGCUUAAAUAGUAAGAGAUUCAAAAUCUUCAUAAAAACAAAAGAGAAAAAAAAAUAAAUACUUGAUCUAUAUUUUUGGAGACAAGCUUUUGCUAACUUCUGUGUUUUCUUUAUACAAAAAUUGUGUUCUUAGAGGAGUUAAUUUAAUCUUAGGAGAUUCCAUGCAUGUAUGAGUUUUUAUUUAUUAGUUUUGAAAUUUUGCUUUGACAAAAAUGUACCUGUGUACUAAAUGUUUGAAAAUAAAAAUGUAUUAAAUCAAAUAUGAAGGAGAAAGCAAAUAUUUCCACACAUAAUGAAUAGAAAAAAAGACGAUCUUACCUUACCUUACGCAUGCAAAGACAAACAAGUGUAUGUAUAUAUAUUAUUGAUAGAGAUUUGUUGAAUUAAUUAAAAUUUAACAAUAUAUCUUCUUAUCUUAUAAACUAUAUAUAUAAUUAAUUAAUGUAAAAAUAUCUUCUUCAAAUAGUCACCAAGAUAUUUUUGCUGACAUACCAAAUUAAGACGAUAAUAUUACUUUCUUCCAUUCUUUUUAUAAGACGUCUCACUCUCAAUGAAAAAAAAAGUGUAAAGUUUCUAUAAAAAAGGAAAAAGAGAAAAAAAGCGUAAAGCCAAGCAUUUAAAAAGUGAAAUGAUUCUUUAAAAUACUAAUGAAAUAUUUGUGUUUUUGAAAAUUACUUUUUUGGCCAUUACUAUGUGCCAAAUAGUUUUUCUACCAACAAUAAAAUAAAGGGGCAGUUUUUCGUAACGAAUAUUUUAUAUAAUUGAGCUGUUUUAUAAAUAUUGAUUACUUAGGUAUGUAUAUCUUUGCCAAAAUAUAUUUAAUGGGAUUUUAAGUAUGUAUUCAACUAUCAACCUAGAUUAUUAUUAUUAUUGUUAUUAUUUUACCAUAUAUAAGGUAGGAGUAGAACCUUUGAGUGUGAAAUAAUUGAAUAGAAAAUAAAUAACUAUGAUAUAGAAUAACUUUAAACUAUAUAUAUAUGUGUAUGUAUGUACAUUUGCAUAUAUGUAUGUAUUGAAAUAAAAUCUCUAAUUUGGAGUUGAUAACGAUAUGCAAAAUCCAAACCCGAAAAGGAGAAGGGCUGGUUAUGGACAUUUGGGGAAGUUCAAGUGAGGAGGCAGAAGAAGGACGAGAGGAUGGGAGGAAGAAGUUUUUCAAAAAAUUAGUUAAAUGAGGCCAAUUAAAAAAGAAAAAUAAAAUCUAACGUACUUAGGAUGACUCAAUUAAUAGGAUACACAUCUCUAUCUCCGAUCAUGGGCUCUAAACCCUUAAUUGAUACACAAGAGUUUAGGGUUUAAAUUAAUCUAAAUAUUACUUUAUAGUUUAGAUUGAAUAUGAUCCCUAGUUGAGAAGAUGAUUGAUGUCAACCUAGUUUAAAUUGAAUAUGAUGGAGUGCUAAGUUUGUGCUAACCUAGUUAGGAUGAUUUGAUGUCCUUUGUGACCCAUAACUUCAUCUAAGAAAAGAAAAUUGAACAUGUCUCUAAAUUUAGAGAUAUAAAUAGAUAUUUUUCCUAAAGUUAUAAAUUAUUAAAGCGUUAUUUUUAACUAAUUGAAAAGUUUAAAUACUAAGUUGGGUUGCAUUGAUACCAUACUAAAUUAUCACUCAACCUAACUCAAAAGUAGAAUGUAUUGAUAGGUUACGGUAAAUAUAGAAAUUUUCGAGAAGUAGAAAUGGAAUUCUCUCAUCCCAAAAUGGUUGAAACUAGUUUUAGAAAAUUUCUUUUAAGCAAUGAAUAUUUGAUGUUUUUAAUUAAUAUAUAAUAUGAACAAUUAGGGAUUGAUUCCCAUGAAAAGUUAAAUUUAUUUUCAAAUUUAAAAUGGAAAUAGAGUUUUUGAUGUUAUGGUUGAAACAUAUGUUGGAGUAUUCAACAUGACAAAUGAUUCAUUAACUUGGCAACUAGCUAAAAAUAGAAUCCUCACUUUUACAAUAAUAAUCAUGUAAUAUAAUUAAAAAAAAAGAAAAAUUAACUCAUUCCUCUCUCUUUCUCAUUUUCCCUAAACAUUACAUAAAUGGUAUUGCACUAUUACUUCAAACACUUUUAUUAGAAAAGAAAUGGGAUUUAUAAUUUUAUAGAAUUAAUCAUCCAUUUAGAAUGUCUUUUUAAAUGUUUCAUUUCAACAUGGCCAAAAAAUUGAUUUUGUUAUAAAUAUUAGUAAAAUAGUUAGAUGGUCCAUUAUAUUAUGGGUUAAUUGUCAUGUGUCACUUUCUCUCCAUUUCACUAUAUUGUCAUGUGUCAUUUUCUUCAACAUCUAACACAUUUGUCAUGUAUUGAAGAUAUCAGACCCUUGGAGGCCAUGUAAUUAAUUCGUCUCAUGCUUACCAAAUUGCCUAUAAAUAAUGUCAUUUGGACAUGGAUCUUGUAGGACACACAUGUUGGUAAAAUUUUCAAAUAAAUAGGAGAAAGUUGAAUUUUUUGAAAUUUUUAAAUUUAAUUUAAUUUAAUUUAUUUUAAUAUUAUAUUUUCUUGAUUUUCGUAUUUUCGUUGUGUCUCAUUUUUACGCUGGAGCUCCAAUUGCCUCCUUCGUCCAAGCAUGAGCUCCAACCAUCUUCUAUACUAAAGGUUGGUUGAUUUUUCACCCACUUUAUUAUAAUUAAUAAAAUGAAUGUUAUUUUGCAUAUUGAAUGUAUAUUAAAUUUCUAAUAUAAUUACAAUAUUUUGUAUAUUAUCUUGAAGAUAUUACAAAAUUACAAUUUCUAGUAUUUGAUAUUAAUAGUAAUAAUUAUUUAUCAUGAAUGUUUGAUACAAAAAUACACCUAGAUGUAAUUAAAAAUAUGAUCGUCAGAAAGCAAUUAUUCUUCCUAAAGCUCGUUAUAAAUGAAUACAGUUGAGGCUCCAAAUUUCUAAAUAAAUAUGUUAGAGAAGAAUUUUUCUACGUUUUGGAUAUGCUUCAUGCAAUAGCUUUUGCAUAAUAUCUUCUCAUGAAUGAAAUAACGAGUUAUUGAUUGAAAGACCAUGAAUAUCAAUCAACUACUAUAGAACCAACAUUUGCUAAAGUGAAUGUUGUAAAUUUUAAUAAUGGUGGAUUAAAAAUUAUGAUUCUUAAUCUUAUUAUCUAAAAUGAAUGUUGUGAGUUUAACAAUUUUAAUGGAGGUUAUAACUACAAUAAAUGAAGAAAUAAUUAUUCAUUGCGGCUGAUUGUUAUAAUUAUCCAAAUUUUAAAAGAACCACAUGAAAUGAUGGUCAUAAUAAAUGGAAAGCACCUCGAAAAAAAUAGAAAAAUGUGAAAUGACAUUUUGCAUAUAUGAUUAAUAAUAUAUAUAUUUGACCUAUCCAAUAUGACAAAUUUGGAUACGGUAGAGUUUUGAAUCUCUAGAAAAUUGACAUAUUCGAAAAAACAAGUAUUUCUUUUGUGAUUAUAUAAUAGUUAAUGUUUUUUUAUCUCUCAUAUUAUAUAUAUAUAUAUUCCAAGUUUUGUUUUUUUUUUUUUUCAAGUUUAAAUUAAUUUGUUUAACGAGGAAGCACAAAAAAUUUUCUUAUAUUUAAAUAACUAAAAAUGUUUUGAGUUUUUUAUCUUUUUGAUUAUAUUAUAUUCAUAUAAGAGUAAUUAAAACAUAUACAACUAUUAACCUAGAUUUCAUGAAUCUAGACAUAUUUACAAUUGAAAUAAUCGAUUGGAUCAUCCAGGAUCUAUAAUGAUGAGAAAAAUUAUUGAAAAUUCACAUAUGGACAUCCAUUGAAGAGCCAGAAAAGAUUCUUCAAUCUAAUGAACUAUUAUAUGAUGCUUACUCUCAAAGCAAAUUAAUAAUUAGAACAUUACUAGCUAAAUUGGGAAUUGAAUCAUCUGUAUUUUAAGAAUGAAUUCAUGGUGAUAUAUGUGGAUCUAUUAGCUCACCACGUGGACUAUUUAAGUAUUUCAUGGUAUUAAUAGAUGAAUCUAGUAGAUGGUCACAUGUGUGCUUAUUAUCAAGUUGAAAUCUUGCAUUUGUAAAAUUACUUGCUCAAAUAAUGAAGUUAAAAGCAUUGUUUCCUGAUUAUACAAUUAAGAAAACAUUCAGCUUGAUAAUGUUGGUGAAAUUACAUACCACGAUUUUAAUAAUUAUUGUAUGUCAAUUGAAAUAAAUGUUGAACAUCAUGUAGCUCAAUGGUUUAGUAGGAUCAUUAAUAAAACGUUUGCAAUUACUUUCUUUACCACUACUUAUGAGAUCUAAGCUUCCUACAUCUGUAUGCAGACAUGUUAUUUUGCAUGCUGCAUCAUUUGUGUGUAUUAAGCUAGCAACUUAUCACAAUUACUCACCAUUAGAAUUAGUAUAUGACCAUAAGUCAAAUAUUUCUCAUUUGAGAAUUUUGUGAUGUGCAAUAUAUGUUCCAAUUGCUCUACCACAACGUAUUAAGAUGAGUCCUUAAAAAAGGCUAAGAAAAUAUGUCGAAUUUGAUUUCUCAUCAAUUAUUAAAUAACUUGAACCCUUGGAGAUGAUAUAUUUAUUGUAUGAUUUAUUGAUUGUCAUUUUAACGAGACAAAUUUUUCAACAUAGUGGAGGAAUCCAGAAGUUGAAAAAAAGAAACUACAUAGUUACAUGGAAUAUGUCCUUUUUAUCUCAUUUUAGAUCAUCGUGCAUAAUCAAUGUGAAGUACUUGACGUUCAAAAAAUAAUUUAUUUGCAAAAUAUAACAAAUCACUUAUCCGAUGCAUUUAUAAAUACAAAGAAAGUAAUUAAGUCAUAUAUAGCAACUGCAAAUGUCCCAUAAAAGGUUUGAUAUUCCAGUGCAACAAGCUAUUCUUAAUUAAUGAAUCUGGAGCAUGCCUAGACCAAAUAUAUAUAAGAAUAUGGAUAUAGAUGUUCCAUGAGAAAGGGAGUCCAUAACUCGGUUAUAGAUAUAGAUGUUCCAUAAGAAAUUAAAAAUUGACCAUAGAUAAGAAUAUCAAAGAAGAUAAAACAACUUAGGAUAAGAAUGAGAUUUUUAUAAAUUAUAUCAUGAAAGGAAAAAAAAUGGAAGCAAAGUAAUAUAGUUGUUGACAAUAUUUUUGUAUAUAAUGUUAAUUUUGAUAUUAUAUCUGAAAAUGAGGAUCCAGAAACAAAAUUUGUUGAAGAAUGUUGAUAGAGAAAAAUUGGCUUUCGUGAAAAAAAGUAAUUGAGACAAAAUUAAACUCACUUUCAAAACAUCAAGUUUUUGGACAAGUAUUUAUGAGAAAAAGAAACUAUGAUAAUGAAAUCACAAGAUAUAAAGUAAGACUAGUUACACAAGUUUUUUUUUUUUUUUUAAUAAAAACCUGAUAUUGAUUACGAAGAGAUAUAUUCUCCGGUGGUGAUUGCAAUCACACAUUGAGUUUUUUAAUUGACAUGAUUGUGUGUGUGAAAAAAAUCUAGACAUACAUCUUAUGAAUGUAGAUACAACAUAUUUAUAUGGAUCUCUUGAUAAUGAUAUUUAUAUGAAAGUGUCAAAAGGAUUUAAGAUACCUAAAACGUACAUAUAAAUCAAGUUGUUGGAAAUUAUAUCCAAUAAAGUUACAGAGAUUACCAUAUAGAUUAAAACAAUCAAGAUGGAUGUGGUAUAAUUGUCUGAAUGGAUAUUUGUUGAAAAAAGAUAUCAAAAUAAUCUAAUAUGUUCAAGCUCUCUUUUACAUAUAUAAAAAAAAGCAUAGUCAUGAUUUGCUAUUAUAACUGUAUAUGUUGAUCAUUUAAAUAUAAUUGAAACUCUUGAAGACUUUUCAAAGACAAUAGAAUAUCUUAGGAAAAAUUCGAGAUUAAAGAUCUUGGAAAAACGAAAAUUUUUCUUGGCUUGCAAAUUGAGUAUUUAGCAUUUGUCAUAUUUGUUCAUCAGUCAACUUAUACAAAAAAAAAUUUGAAAAGAUUUUAUAUAGACAAAACAUACAUCCAUUAAACAUACAAAUGUAAAUUUAUUUAAGUAGACAUGAAGAAAAAGAUAUUUCAACCUUGAAGGAUAAUGAAGAACUUCUUGGUCCAAAAGUAUCAUAUCUUAGUGCAAUUGGUGCACUUAUGCAUCUGGAAAAUUAUACAAAACCAUAUAUUGCAUUUUCAAUAAAUUUAUUAACUAGAUACAUUUCCUCUCCAAUAAAAAGACAUUGGAAUAGAAUUAUGGAUAUACCUAGUUAUCUUCGAGGAACAAUUGAUAUAGGUUAUCUAUUCACAUAUGAAGGAUUUGCUAUAUCAUGACGAUCAGUGAAACAUACUAUAAUAACUACCUCCUUAAAUCAUGUUGAAGUUCCCGCAAUGCACAAGGCAGUCGAAAUGUGUAUGGCUAAGAUUAAUGACCUAGCACAUUCGUGGAACAUGUUGUUCAUCUUAUAAUAAAAAUCUUCUAAUGAUACUAUACAAAGACAACAUGUGAUGUAUAGCUCAAAUCAAAUAAAAUUAUAUUAAAGGCGAUAAAACAAAGAAUAUUUUAUGGAAGCUUUUCUACACUUAUGAUCUUGAAGAAAUUGACGACAUCAUAGUACAACAAAUUUUUUCAAAUGAUAACUUGAUAGACUUAUUUACAAAAUCCUUAACUACCACAAUUUUUAAAAAAUUGGUGUGCACAACAUUGAAAUGCAGAGACUCAAAUAUCUCAAGUGAUGUUUCCAUGAUGAGGAGUAAAUUGUAUUUUUGUAAGCUUAUAAAUUAUAUGAAAUAUGUACUUUUUUUUCUUCACUAGAAUUUUUUUCCAUUGGUUUUUUUCUAGUAAGGUUUUAACGAGAUGCAUAUUUCAUAUAUGUAAAUAGGCAUCUAAGAGGGAGUAUUAUAAAUAUUAGUAAAAUAGAUCAUGUCCUAUUAUACUCGGUGUUCAUUGCCAAGUGUAACUCCUUCCACAUUCCACUACAUUGUCAUGUGUCAUUUUCCUUCACAUGCAACACCUUUGACAUGUGUCUUAAAGAUAUCAACUCUUAGUGGUCAUGUAAUCCAUCUUAUGAUUAUCAAAUUGCCUAUAAAUAGUGACAUUUGGUGUGUCAUGUAUGAAAUGCAUAUUUAUGAAAUUUUCAAACAAAUGGGAGAAAGUGAUUUUUUUUUUUAUUUUCUAAUUUCUUAAUUUAAUUUAAUUUAUAUAUUAUAUAUUAUUAUAUUUUAAUAUUAUAUUUUCUUGAUUUCAUUGUUCUCGCUGUCUCAUUUUUACAACAUGUUUAAUCGCCAGAAAUAUAGGGGCAUCUCAAAAUCCACAUCGCUCACUUUUAGUCACCACUCCCACUUGUGAACCUAAAUCUUAUAGAUCUGCCCUUAAGAUUUUCCACUCGUAUAAUGCCAUGAAAGAAGAAAUGGACGUUCUCCACAAAAACCAUACUUGGGAUCUAGUUCCCCGUCCAACAUACACCAAUAUUAUAGAAUCCAAAUGGGUCCUCAAAAUCAAACUUAGAGAUCAAGAUGGCUCAAUAGAUAGAUAUAAAGCUCGUUUAGUUGCUCCAGGAUACUCUCAAAUAGAGGAAAUUGACUAUGGUGAAACAUUUAGUUCUGUUGUCAAACCUCCUACAUCCUCAUUAGGAUAAACUUACCUUUUCAGGGGUAUUUAACAAAUGUCAUAGAUAAGCAUUCUCAAAUAAGUUGUAUAUUAUAGUAUGAUGCAACCAUUAGGUUUCCAAGAUAUUCAUCACCCAAACCAUGUUUGCAAACUUAACAAGUCCCUUUAUGACCUAAAACAUGCUCCUCGUGCUUGGUUUGAUAGACUUUUCAACUAUCUUAUGACAUUAGGAUUUAAUUGUUGCCACUCUGAUCCAUCCUUAUUUAUUCUUCAACACCCCAAUGUCACACUCAUUAUGCUUAUCUACGUUGAUGACAUAAUUAUCACCAGAAAUUACCCUGAAGCAAUACAACAACUCAUUACCACCAUCGGUAAUGAAUUUGCUCUUAAAUACUUAAGGCCUCUACAAUACUUCUUGGGAAUUGAGGUGAUGUCCACUCUUCAUGGUCUUUUCCUAUGUCAAAGCAAAUAUGCAAAAGAAAUCCUCAUUAAAGGACACAUGCUUGACGCUUCCAAAAUCAAUACUCCCAUGACUGUCACCACCUCAGAUCAUCUUUGGACAAUGACCCAAUCGAUGCCCAAGCCUACCGUAGUCUCAUUGGGUCCCUCCAAUACCUCACUUUUAUGCAUCAUAAUCUCUCCCAUGUUGUUCAUCGUGUUUGUCAACAACUUCAAAAUCCAACAAAAAAAGGCCUUUGAGCUGGGAAACGGAUCCUUCGCUACAAUAAAGGGACUAUAAACUAUGGUUUACCUAUUUUUAAGCAAAAGUACAUAUAACCUUUAUGUGUUUUGUGGUGCAGAUUGGGCUGAAUGCACUACAAUCAGGUGUAAUACAACAUGUUUUUGUGUCUAUCUUGGUGCAAAUUACAUUUCAUGGUCUUCGAAAAAGAAAAUCAUUAUAGCUAGAUCAAGCGCUAAAACUAAAUAUCGUGUCAUGGCUAGUGCCACAACUGAACUUACUUAGAUCACUUUCCUCUUUAUAGAUCUUUUUAUACUCCUCAACCAAACACCUCAACUCUUUUGUGACAAACUUGGUGCAUUAUAAAUGAUGGUCAAUCCAGUAUUUCAUGCUCGAACCAAACAUAUCGAGCUCGAUUAUCCCUUUGUUCGAGAAAAAGUGACCAAUGGCUCACUCAUCACUCGCUUUGUCCCUUCUCAUAAACAACUAGGUGACAUAUUCACCAAGCCCUUACCAAAAGCACACUUUAUUGAGUUACGAAACAAACUUAGAGUUCAAGCAAUGCAACACUCCAGUUUGAAGAAGGAUAUAAGAGAUCAGGCAUCUCAAAAUCAAAUUGACACCAAAUAUGAAUUAAUCAAAUUACCUCAAAAUCCGGAUAAUUAGCCUUUGACAUAAAUGUUGUCCAAAUUCACCAUGAUUAUUUUGCCUUACUUGAAUGAAAAAUAUGACCCUUGCUCAGUUCUCCUUUUUGACCUCCACAAAUCCUCCACAAAUUUAUUUUUUCAAUCACAAAUUUAUUCAUUCCAUGUUUGUAGCUUAUUCAAUUUGUGUAUAAAUAUCCAUCAUGUGUUUAUCAAGAAUAUUAGUUUCUCCUUUGAUUGAGGUUUUAGUUUCUUUAGGUAUAAGAUACCUUAUUCUUGUUGUAUGAUCUAGAAUAUGAUGUCAUAUAAUUGUUUUGUGAUAUGGUAUGAGAUGCUCUUUUCUUGAAGUGUGAUUUGGCACUGGAGGACGGAUUAUGCAUGAUGAAAUUGAUGGUGAAUUGCUGAUUGUGUUGAAUUGCUGAUUGUGUUGAGGUUGCUUUGUAUAGCCACAACCUAGCAAAAGAGUGUGAUAAAUGCUUGAGUUGAGAAAAGGGUACAAAGAUGUAAUUGAACACGUACAGCAGUUGUGUGAUGUGACUUAAUGAUGCAUUAUGCGAGAUGUAUGCUUAUGAGAUAUGAGUGGUUAUAAAUGAUUUGAAAAGAAAUGUUUUCCAUUUAUGAUUAAUAAAUAUUUGUUAAUGAAAUUUGGAUUGUGUUGAUCGUGUAACGCGUUGAGAUGAUUUGAUUUGGACUCGAUAUUUUAUUUUUGAAACACAUAACUAUUUAUAUUACAUGAUUUGGCAAAAUGAGUUGUAACACGUUAGGAUAGAAUUUGACUUAGUGUUGGUAAAAGACUCACACUCACUAGACAUUCUUGUCUAACUUUCAAAUGUCUUGAUUUACUCCCCCCCUCUAUGGUAACAGAGGACAACCAACGUUUGACUUGCUAUCUUUAUCGUCUCUUUUGCCAUAUACUCAAUUCACAUCAUCUUUGGUAGUGUCAUUGUGUCAACUCACACAACAUGUGUAGAAGCUAGGUGAGGAGAGUCCAACUAUUGUUUUGAGAUUAUAUAUAUUUUUUGUUAGAAGGAACUUCGUACUUGUGUUAAAUAUAUUCUUUUAACCACUAUGAAUGAAGUAUUUGUGUUAUCAAUUGAGUUCUCAGUUUGUGUUAAGAUUGUGGAUUGUGUUUGUUCCGCUUACUAGGUGUUCUACGUGCUAUUUGCGAAAAGAUUCACGUAGAAUGUGUAGGUGGUCAAGUCUCCACCUGGUCGCAUAGAGUGACUUUUGGAAUGGGGUGGGACAUGUAUAUAGCAAUUAAGAAUUGUAAUUUUUAAUAAUGGCUAAAAUAUAGCAAUUUUAGGAUUUUUAAUGGCUAUAUAUUUGUAAUUUUCAAAAGAUUUCUAUAUAAUUUUGAAUGUAAUGGCUAUAUAUAUAUAUAUGCCACUAUCCCUAAAAAGUUUAUAAAAAAAAUCUAAGUUUGUGAUUAAUCUGAUGAUGAAUAUCUAAGAAAGGAAAAGGAGAUAGAAACUAUUAUCUUCUUCUUGUGUGUCUCUAUAGUGUUGUGUGUUAAACCAAAAACUGAAACCACACAGCAUUUAUGACAAAGAAGAAAAGUAGGUGAAAAUGAUUGACGUUUGGGAAGAGAAUUAUCAAACAAAAUCCUUCAACUGUGACCUUUUUCAAUUUACAACCACAGAAUCUUUGCUAAAAUCCAUUUCAUAAACAUAGAUAUGCAAACUGUAUCCAUCCAUUUGAUACUUACAAAUCAUCUGCCCAUCAAAUUUUAGUUUCACAUCUCAAAUUCCAUACAUAUUCCUUAAUUGAUCUAACACAUAAAAACUUAUAUAUCUUCUGUCAACAACAGCUUAAAGCUAAACCAAUAUUCAAAUUUAGCUUAACUCGACUCAUUACAAGAUUUGAGUUUCAAAUUUCUCUCCCCCAAUCAUUGUACUAAAAAAAGCUUUCAUAUCUGUCAAUAUUUUUAAAACUACAUGAGAUGGUAUAACUUUAAAUUCACAUCUAAUUUAUUUUAAUCACUGAAUCAUGGUUGUAAAACAGCACACAUAGUAGUGGUUAAUCUCCAAAUUAAUUAGUUGGUCCACUAACUUUUAGAGUAUGAUAUUUAAAGACUUCCCAAACUUUGAAUUCAAAAAGUGCAGUCUGUAAUCUAUAUAUAGUGGGAUUAGAAGAUAUAGAAGCGUAUCAAUAAAGUGAACACAAUAAUUAUAUAGAAGGGGAAAAAAAACCUUAAAAAUGCUAUUGAGAUUGCACUUAUUUUUGUCCAUUCAAAAACUAACAACAACAUUUUAACAUUAAAAAAAAAAAAAAAAAGGAAAGUUAAAUAGUUGUAUUUCCCCACUGUGUAAUGAAUGGACGAUUAUAUAUAAAAUAUGUGUAAUCUAAAUUGUACCUACUAAUUUUCCAUAUAUAGAAAUGGAAAUGGAAAAUGGAAAAUGGAAAAUGGAAAAUGGAAAUGCAUGGGUGCCAUGUAGCUACCUCCAUGGAGCAGCAGGUGGUAAAUGUAGUAAAACAAAAAGGGGGAUUAGAGAGAACAUACAAUAGCAUAUAAAUGAAGAAAGAUGAAUAAAAUUAAUGAAAAAAAAGGAUGAUAAGCUAUAGUUUUACGAAAAAGAAAAAGAAUAAAGAAUAAGGACAAAAGAAAAGAAAAUGUUGGAAGAGUCAAAGAGGCAAUAAAAGAGAAGAAGUAGGGUUUUAAUUUUAAUUUGUAUUGAGAGUUGUGAAGCGGCGCAUGGGAAGGGGCAAUAGCCAUACCAAAAUGGUGAGGGUAUGGCUCAUAACCACAAAACCAUACAAACCAAUUAGGGUCCCCAAAAGAGAGAAGUGGCUAAUUGGAAACUCUGAAAGGUUAUAUUUAUCAUUUUUUUUUUUUAGAAACUUGGCUUUUGGGUGAACUCUAAAGUCAUCUUCUUCCUUUCCUCCUUCUUUCUAAUUUCUCUGUCCAUGGUCAGAAAGAAAAAGGCUGUCAAAGUUUUAUUUCUCUUUUUUUCUUUUUUCUUUUUUUUUUUUGUGGGAUCCAUAGAUUUUAAGGGGACCAGAAACUAAUGGAAUUAUAUAUAACAGUUUGUUUUUCUAAAUUGAACCACAAAUUUCACUAUUUAUUAAAAAUAUAUCAAUAUUAAUGUUUGUCUAAUAUCAUCCUCAUAAAUCUGUUCUACAAAUCUUUACCACUAAAUAUACAACUACUACUACUACUACCUCCUUUCUUUUUUUUUUUUUGUUUAUUUGUUUUGGGGAAUAUUAAUUAUGGCUCUAUUUAUUGCAUUUGUUUCUAUCUCUUAUUCAAUACUUCAAUUUAAAUAUGCGUUAAAAUAGACUAAUGAGCAACUUUUUGGAAAAUGUACAAAAUAAAUAAUAGCCUGGCACCUACCUAGCUGGUUGUUAUGUUAUUAGGAAUUUAGGAUAGGGAAGAAUAUUAAUUAAACACGAUUUUAUUUACUUUCAUCUUAGGGUGGUAUCAACCACUUUUCUUGGGGAAUAUUUUACACCUUUUUUUUUCUUUUCUUUUUCUUUAAUAAAAUCUUUACUUGAUCUCACAUAUGUAUGUUUAGUUUCAUUUCAAUUUUGUAAAAGUAACUUUUAUAAAAUCAUUGGAGAUGGAUGUUUCUAAGCAGAUUAUACAAAUAUAUAUAUAUAUAAUAUAUAUAUAUAUAUAACAUCUUAUUUAUAUUAAAAAAUAUUUUUAUUUUUAUUUUUUUAACUAGUUAAAAGGUUUAAUAUUUGGAUUAGGUUUACAUUACUUCUUAUUUUAAUUUUUAUAUUUUAAAAUUUGUUUUAGUGAUUCUCUCGUGAUAAUUUGAAGCCGAGGAAAAUAUCGUUAAAAUCUAUAAAAAUGACUUUUAUUUAUUAUUCGAUUCUAAACUCAAAUCUCAAACAUGAUAAUUUAAUCUUUCGCUGCUUUAAUUAUAAUUUAGAGACAGAGAAUUGAUAUAUUAUAUCAAUGUUAGAUAGAUAAACCAUCAAAUGCAUAUAAAAAAGAUUGUAGAAAAGACAAAAGAGUUUUGAAGACGUUGUUGAUAGAUCCUACUAAAGAAAAUAAUUUACGAUUGAAUAAAGAUGGAUAAGAUUUUACUCGAGAGAAGAGAAAUUUAUAAAUGAAAAGAAAUUACGAUUUUAGUUUUAAUAGGUAUGUUUUAUCUUUAUACUUUCAAAAUGUAAUAUUUUAGUUAUUCUAACAUUUUAAAAUUAGUUAUUUAAAGUAUCAUAUAAUAGGUUAAAAAAAUCAUAAUGAUUUUUUAUUAUUUUAAAUUGAAAUUUUAACUUUUAAAAAAUCAUAUUUCUCUGUGAAAUUCCUUUUAAAAACUUUUGUUCCAAUUUAAAAUCUCAUAUAACUUUAUAAAAAAAAGAAAGAAAAGAAAUACAAUUAAAGUGAUUUUUAAAGCGCCAUAAAAAGAUAUAUUUUAAGAAUUUAGAGACUUAAGAUGCAUAUUCUAAAAAGAAUACAUGAGUUGAAAAAAUGUAUAGUGUUUGAUAAAACAUAAACCAAAUGCAUCAAUUCUUCAAAACUCGGAUGGACUAAAAACGAUAGUUUUAUAUAUGAAUAAAUAUAAUAAGAAGAAGGAUGAAAGAGAAUGGAGAAUCUUAUUUAUAUUCCUUUGAACAUAGGUUCGACGAGAACAUGUUUCCCAAGCAUGCAUGCUCCAUGUGAAUAGAAUAUGUGGUUUGUAUGGUUAGUAAUUAAUAAUUAAUAAGUUGUUUUGAGAUUGAUUUAAAAAUGAUUAACCUAAAGUAAACCCAAUAAUUAAGCAACAAAACAAAACACAGAGAUUAAAGACUACAUAAUAUAAUUAUUAAUAUAUAUAUAUAUAUUCCAUUGACAGAAUCCCCAUGCAUUUGUUUCUUGAUUCCAUUACAUUUGAUUCCUCCUUCAAGGAGAGAAUAAUCAAUGAACCUAAAGAAAUGGACCAGGAAAAAUAGUUGUGAUCGAUCAGAUGCAGCUUUUAAACUCAUAAAAAUCCGACAUUGAUUUUAGUACCAAAAUUAAAACCUUUCAAAUACGAAUCUGUCAAAAUGUAUAAUUUAUAUAUGUAAACCAAUAGAUUUUUUGUUUCUCUUUCAGUUUGUUUUUGCUAAGAACACAAUAUAUAUAUAGUACUAAGGAAAACGAAAGAGACUUGUUGUUGUUUUCUGUCCUGUCAUGCAAUAGCCUUUUCUUAAGUGUUUAUGUCCUCGAAUUCAUAAGUGUUUCUAUCAAUUAGGCCAUCAACAGAUAAUUUUGUGAGUGUGGACUGUAUCCAUUUACAUGUAUUGGGUGAAAACUUGUACUUCCUCAAAACAAAUAGAAAUCAAAAUCUCUAAUACGGAAAAACUCUCUUAUAUAUAAUUCUACAAAUGUUGUUAUUAAUUGCCAAGUAAACUAAUAUAAUGUGUUAUAAAUUUUAUGUUACAUUGUUUUCCCAAAAUUAAAGAAUGUUUGCUAUAAAAAUGGGCAUUUGAAAGCUGUAAAAAAUGCAAAAAUAUGCUUAUAAAUAUAUAGAUUGUGGAGUUUGGGAUUCAAAUUUUCUGACAUUAGAAACACAAAUUACUAAUACUGAAUUAUUUUUCUUAGUGAUGAAUUAAAAUACAUACUGCAUCUUUUGGUUGGAGUUAUUUUUUUUCUUUUUAAAAUGUUGUAUUACAAAAAUGAGAUGAGAGCUAGCAUUAGCGUUUUAUAUUUAUUAGAGUUUCAAAUUUUAAAAUUCUUAUUUUUAAAAAAAAAUAGAGAAGUUUUUUAAAUUAUAAAUUUGACAAAUAGAAACCAUGCU
rnacentral:lncRNA from 1 species